rnacentral:misc_RNA from 1 species
AUGAAUUUAUAAUCCGGCGAGACGAAGGACGAGGACUGUCGCUGGCCUUUCAUCGAGGCAUGUGCACGCUCUCUUCUGGACUUUCGCCGUAUGGGCGCGGGGCGACCCGCGUCUUCAUAUACCUCUUCGUGUAGAAAGUCCAGAAGAGAGCGUGACUUCUAGGAGACGCGAUUCUUUGAGACAAAAGUUAUCA